UAAAGUGUGAUGGUGGUAUUGGGGUGACUAAAAGAUCAAAUUGGGUGUUACAUCAUAAUUUCACCAAUUUGAUCUUUUAGUCACCCCAAUACCCAUCACACUUUA